GACAUAGGUGGCGAACGUUAUCCGGAAUUACUGGGCGUAAAGGGCGCGUAGGCGGCCCGCUAAGUCGAACGUGAAAUCCCUGGGCUCAACCCAGGAACUGCGUCCGAUACUGGCAGGCUUGAAUCCGGGAGAGGGAUGCGGAAUUCCAGGUGUAGCGGUGAAAUGCGUAGAUAUCUGGAGGAACACCGGUGGCGAAGGCGGCAUCCUGGACCGGUAUUGACGCUGAGGCGCGAAAGCCAGGGGAGCAAACGGG
rnacentral:rRNA from 1 species